rnacentral:rRNA from 1 species
AGCUCCAAUAGCGUAUACUAAAGUUGUUGCAGUUAAAAAGCUCGUAGUUGGAUUUCUGCGCGGGUGGGGCGACCGCGCGUCUAAAGGCGUGUCGAGUCAGCAACGUCCGCGCAUCCUGCCGCGAACCACGCUACCAUUCAUUUGGUGGCGUCUGGGGAUCGGCUCGUUUACUUUGAGAAAAACAGAUUGUUCAAAGAAGGCAAAUGCCUUGAAUGAUGUAGCAUGGAAUAAUGAUAAAGGACUUUGGUUCUAUUUUGUUGGUGUUCGGGACCGAAGUAAUG